UGUUGUUGUUGUAGUUUCUGUGUCUGUUAAAUAAGAAUAUCCUACUCUGUGAGAAGUCCCAGUGAAAUCAAUAAGAAUCUAGCCCUAGGACUCUGGAAUGUGGAAAAGCAGAUACUAUGGAUGAUGUGACAGUGCCUGAGAAGGAGACAUGCAGAUGAAGGUCAUCCACAUAAUGCUCUCCUGGGAGAGUCUCAUUGAGCAAUUUCAUGUAGAUGCUGGAGAAGAGGCUCUUGAGCGGUUGCUGUUGGGUUGCAAGUGUGAAUGGCUGUCUAGCAAACUCCAACACUUCCUCCAUUAAAACAACAAAAAGCCAACCAAUUGUGAUGCCUCGAGGAAAUCAUACGAAUACAUUAUGUGCAAGAGAAUUUUGGAAAGGGUGUAAGGACACUGCAGCUAAAGCUUAGAGAAUCAGUGUAGGGGAAAAGAUGAGAGAGGGGGGGAAAUUCAUAUGCUUCACUGGAAAAAGGAACAAAAUGUAACUGCCAGUGCUGAGCACUUCACUUGUAUGUUACAUCACUCUGCCAUUCACCCUUGUCUAUCUUUUGUCUUUUUUCCU